rnacentral:rRNA from 1 species
UACGAAGGGGGCUAGCGUUGUUCGGAAUCACUGGGCGUAAAGCGCACGUAGGCGGAUUGUUAAGUCAGGGGUGAAAUCCUGGAGCUCAACUCCAGAACUGCCUUUGAUACUGAGGAUCUUGAGUUCGGGAGAGGUGAGUGGAACUGCGAGUGUAGAGGUGAAAUUCGUAGAUAUUCGCAAGAACACCAGUGGCGAAGGCGGCUCACUGGCCCGAUACUGACGCUGAGGCACGAAAGCGUGGGGAGCAAACAGG